GACGAACGCUGGCGGCGUGCUUAACACAUGCAAGUCGAACGGAAAGGCCCUGCUUUUGUGGGGUGCUCGAGUGGCGAACGGGUGAGUAACACGUGAGUAACCUGCCCUUGUCUUUGGGAUAACUUCAGGAAACUGGGGCUAAUACCGGAUAGGAGCUCCUGCUGCAUGGUGGGGGUUGGAAAGUUUCGGCGGUUGGGGAUGGACUCGCGGCUUAUCAGCUUGUUGGUGGGGUAGUGGCUUACCAAGGCUUUGACGGGUAGCCGGCCUGGGAGGGUGACCGGCCACAUUGGGACUGAGAUACGGCCCAGACUCCUACGGGAGGCAGCAGUGGGGAAUAUUGCACAAUGGGCGGAAGCCUGAUGCAGCAACGCCGCGUGCGGGAUGACGUCCUUCGGGUUGUAAACCGCUUUCGCCUGUGACGAAGCGUGAGUGACGGUAAUGGGUAAAGAAGCACCGGCUAACUACGUG
rnacentral:rRNA from 1 species